UACUCUCUGGCAUCGGGAGAGAACUGAUUUCGGACGGAAGAACUGGUCGGGUUUGCUGUCACAGACUCCACAGUCAUUUGUGCUGGGGAGCGAAAGACUUUUCUGAGCUUCACCUCGCUCCCGCUCUCGGCGGGGCCCGAGACACACAGAAACGUGAGCACCCAUCUUCAGAGGCUCUUUACUAAGCUCUCCGUCCUCCCGUGACGGGGCUGUUCACUCAACCUCUGCGAGGGCCCCUCAUCUGAUGCCUUCUUAGCCUCUCUUGCCUGGCGGUCUCCUGCAGCAAGCAAGGAUACCACAGCCCUCUAAAUUCUUCCCAAUAACGCAGGUGGAAAAAGCUGAGCAGCAAAUGAUUAAAUUUGGAAAAACCUGCCAAGGAUCCAGUGGCAUGAAGCCAAGAGCUGGAUUCAACCUAGAGGUAGAAGAUGUGCCAGCUCAGCUGGUGUGGAUAUGUUUGGCAACUAACAUUUCAAAAAAGGUAGCACUCCGCCUGGAGAAAGCUGGCUAGCUCCACAAAGGGAGGUAAGACUUGGACUGAAUCUCAAAAGAGGAAAGGUCAUAUGAGGAUGCAGCAAGGAAACAGUUGUCUGAAAGCAGAGGAGGAAGGUCUCAGCAGAACCCAACCAUGCUGGCACCUUGA